AGAGCGAACGCUGGCGGCAGGCCUAAAACAUGCAAGUCGAACGAGCCCUUCGGGGUUAGUGGCGGACGGGUGAGUAACACGUGGGAACGUGCCUUUUGGUUCGGAACAACUCAGGGAAACUUGAGCUAAUACCGAAUGUGCCCUUCGGGGGAAAGAUUUAUCGCCAUUAGAGCGGCCCGCGUCUGAUUAGCUAGUUGGUGAGGUAAAGGCUCACCAAGGCUUCGAUCAGUAGCUGGUCUGAGAGGAUGAUCAGCCACACUGGGACUGAGACACGGCCCAGACUCCUACGGGAGGCAGCAGUGGGGAAUAUUGGACAAUGGGCGCAAGCCUGAUCCAGCCAUGCCGCGUGGAUGAUGAAGGCCUUAGGGUUGUAAAGUCCUUUUAACGGGGAAGAUAAUGACGGUACCCGUAGAAUAAGCCCCGGCUAACUUCGCGCCAGCAGCCGC
rnacentral:rRNA from 1 species